GGGAAUCUUCGGCAAUGGACGAAAGUCUGACCGAGCAACGCCGCGUGAGUGAAGAAGGUCUUCGGAUCGUAAAACCCUGUUGUUAGAGAAGAACAAGGACGUUAGUAACUGAACGUCCCCUGACGGUAUCUAACCAGAACGCCACGGCUAACUACGUGCCAGCAGCCGCGGUAAUACGUAGGUGGCAAGCGUUAUCCGGAUUUAUUGGGCGUAAAGGGAACGCAGGCGGUCUUUUAAGUCUGAUGUGAAAGCCCAGGGCUUAACCGUGGAGGGUCAUUGGAAACUGGUUGACUUGAGUGCAGAAGAGGGAAGUGGAAUUCCAUGUGUAGCGGUGAAAUGCGUAGAGAUAUGGAAGAACACCAGUGGCGAAAGCGGCUCUCUGGUCUGUAACUGACGCUGAGGUUCGAAAGCGUGGGUAGCA
rnacentral:rRNA from 1 species